AACACGUGGGUAACCUACCUAUAAGACUGGAAUAACUCCGGGAAACCGGGGCUAAUGCCGGAUAACAUUUAGAACCGCAUGGUUCUAAAGUGAAAGAUGGUUUUGCUAUCACUUAUAGAUGGACCCGCGCCGUAUUAGCUAGUUGGUAAGGUAACGGCUUACCAAGGCAACGAUACGUAGCCGACCUGAGAGGGUGAUCGGCCACACUGGAACUGAGACACGGUCCAGACUCCUACGGGAGGCAGCAGUAGGGAAUCUUCCGCAAUGGGCGAAAGCCUGACGGAGCAACGCCGCGUGAGUGAUGAAGGUCUUCGGAUCGUAAAACUCUGUUAUUAGGGAAGAACAAAUGUGUAAGUAACUGUGCACGUCUUGACGGUACCUAAUCAGAAAGCCACGGCUAACUACGUGCCAGCAGCCGCGGUAAUACGUAGGUGGCAAGCGUUAUCCGGAAUUAUUGGGCGUAAAGCGCGCGUAGGCGGUUUCUUAAGUCUGAUGUGAAAGCCCACGGCUCAACCGUGGAGGGUCAUUGGAAACUGGGAAACUUGAGUGCAGAAGAGGAAAGUGGAAUUCCAUGUGUAGCGGUGAAAUGCGCAGAGAUAUGGAGGAACACCAGUGGCGAAAGGCGACUUUCUGGUCUGUAACUGACGCUGAUGUGCGAAAGCGUGGGGAUCAAACAGGAUUUAGAUACCCUGGUAGUCCACGCCGUAAACGAUGAGUGCUAAGUGUUUAGGGGGGUUUCCGCCCCUUUAGUGCUGCAGCUAACGCAUUAAGCACUCCGCCUGGGGAGUACGACCCGCAAGGUUGAAACUCAAAGGAAAUUGACGGGGACCCGCACAAGCGGUGGAGCAUGUGGUUUAAUUCGAAGCAACGCGAAGAACCUUACCAAAUCUUGACAUCCUUUGACAACUCUAGAGAUAGAGCCUUCCCCUUCGGGGGACAAAGUGACAGGUGGUGCAUGGUUGUCGUCAGCUCGUGUCGUGAGAUGUUGGGUUAAGUCCCGCAACGAGCGCAACCCUUAAGCUUAGUUGCCAGCAUUAAGUUGGGCACUCUAAGUUGACUGCCGGUGACAAACCGGAGGAAGGUGGGGAUGACGUCAAAUCAUCAUGCCCCUUAUGAUUUGGGCUACACACGUGCUACAAUGGACAAUACAAAGGGCAGCUAAACCGCGAGGUCAUGCAAAUCCCAUAAAGUUGUUCUCAGUUCGGAUUGUAGUCUGCAACUCGACUACAUGAAGCUGGAAUCGCUAGUAAUCGUAG
rnacentral:rRNA from 1 species